AUCUUGCCGAUGAUGUUUUUAUACACAAAUGUCUGAACAUAUGAAUUCAUUGUGAUUCAGCUUUUUAUCUGAGGCAAGAA
rnacentral:snoRNA from 1 species